GAUGAACGCUGGCGGCGUGCUUAACACAUGCAAGUCGAACGAUGAAGCCCAGCUUGCUGGGUGGAUUAGUGGCGAACGGGUGAGUAACACGUGAGUAACCUGCCCUUAACUCUGGGAUAAGCCUGGGCAACUGGGUCUAAUACCGGAUAGGAGCGUCCACCGCAUGGUGGGUGUUGGAAAGAUUUAUCGGUUUUGGAUGGACUCGCGGCCUAUCAGCUUGUUGGUGAGGUAAUGGCUCACCAAGGCGACGACGGGUAGCCGGCCUGAGAGGGUGACCGGCCACACUGGGACUGAGAGACGGCCCAGACUCCUACGGGAGGCAGCAGUGGGGAAUAUUGCACAAUGGGCGCAAGUCUGAUGCAGCGACGCCGCGGUAGGGAUGACGGCCUUCGGGGUGUGAACCUCUUUCGGUAGGGAAGAAGCGAUAGUGACGGUACCUGCAGAAGAAGCACCGGCUAACUACGUG
rnacentral:rRNA from 1 species